UACAGAGGUCCCGAGCGUUGUUCGGAUUCACUGGGCGUAAAGGGUGCGUAGGUGGUGGGGUAAGUCGGAUGUGAAAUCUCCGGGCUCAACCCGGAAAUGGCAUUGGAAACUACCUUGCUGGAGGAUUUGAGGGGGGAUUGGAAUACUUGGUGUAGCAGUGAAAUGCGUAGAUAUCAAGUGGAACACCAGUGGCGAAGGCGAAUCCCUGGAAAAUACCUGACACUGAGGCACGAAAGCUAGGGGAGCAAACAGG
rnacentral:rRNA from 1 species